UGGGGAAUAUUGCGCAAUGGGGGAAACCCUGACGCAGCGACGCCGUGUGAGGGAAGAAGGCUUUCGGGUCGUAAACCUCUGUCAGGAAGGAAGAACCUCUCAAGGCUGAACAAGCCUUGGGACUGACGGUACUUCCAGAGGAAGCACCGGCUAACUCCGUGCCAGCAGCCGCGGUAAUACGGAGGGUGCAAGCGUUAAUCGGAAUCACUGGGCGUAAAGCGCGCGUAGGCCGUCUUUUAAGUCGGACGUGAAAGCCCUCGGCUCAACCGGGGAACUGCGUUCGAUACUGGGAGACUUGAGUCCUGGAGAGGGUGGCGGAAUUCCGGGUGUAGGAGUGAAAUCCGUAGAUAUCCGGAGGAACACCCGUGACGAAGGCGGCCACCUGGACAGGUACUGACGCUGAUGCGCGAAAGCGUGGG
rnacentral:rRNA from 1 species